UGAAGCCAGAAAGGCGCAUGCGCCGCAGUGAAAGCGCUGCCCCCUAGCGACUGGAGGAUAGCCGAGCGUUCCCACGGGGCUGGUUACUACUCUCCAGACAGCAGGAAGACCAAUGGAGAACAGCAUAUUCAGAGGACACUUUCCAAUCUCUUCUCUAAUUCUGAGCAGACCCAGAUCUAGGAGUUCUAGGAGGUCAAACAAGACUCGAAACCAAUGAAUGAAGUUCAGUGCCUGUAAGUUACCGUGUCUGGGCUG